UGGUACGAUUAAUAGCAUUAAUUAACAUUAUUAAUACAAUUAACGGUACAGUAUGUAUAGAUUAUUCGUAAUUUCUGGUAAAGAACAAGUACCGAUAAUAGUGGGAAGAUAACUUGAAAAAAUCUUUCGAAAAAAAAAGAGAAAAUGAAGUAUCAAAGUGUAUUAAUUAUUCUGAUCUGUUUAUAGCACGUAUUAGUACAUGUUACUAUUUUGAGCUAUCGCGAAUCGAUAAUACGUAAUUUAUGGCUUCUUUCAAAGGGAAGUGCGAAGGGACGGGCUUGCGGAAUAAUCGCAGGUCGUUAAAUAUCAAUCGGAUGGUGAAAUUGGUAUUACAAAAGCACCGCGAGUUCAAUUUGGUUAUUCGGUAUAGAAAAUGAGAGAGGAAUUGGAGUGGAGCACAAGCGAUGAUAAUUUUCCUUAUAAAGGAGAAUUAUGAGUCGAGACGCAGGUGACGGGCGCGGUAGACGGCGUUUUUGACAGUACGAUCAUUUUUCAAGGGUGCGCGGCAAAGUGGUCGACAAAGAGAAACGACGAAUAAGUUGAAGUCGGUGCGAAAUGGCGGGACAUUUUUUAGCAGGCAAUGCUGAGUCUCCUAUAAAUAUGUAAUACCAAUCUUCUAGCCGACUGUACCGAACAUUUUUACCCUUUCUGGACUGGCGUCGUUUGUCACAUCUUGUCAAAUUAAGCCUUGAACUUCCCUUUCGUGGCAACGAGCGUGACGCACGAGAAACUCUUGCAAAUAAGUAGUGUGACGUUACGCAACCCAUACUGAGAGAUAUCUCUAGAGGGGUACCGAAUCGAUAGUGUAUAUGUAGUACGAAUAGUAAUCCUACUUAAUGGCGCUCGGAGACGGUAGAUUGACCAGGCCAAUUGUUCAAACAUCGGGUUAGGAAGAUGAUGGAUGGAAUUGAAGGCAAUGAAUAAAUGGAUCUUGGCAAUGAGCUUGACGACGUGCCUCCUCGUUUCUCCUUCUUCUUCUUCUUCUUCUUCUGCUUCUUCUUCUGGCAUUAUGAGAAUCAUCUUUGAGUACACUUUGAGAAAAAGUAAGUUAACAGGUCAUUGGAACAUGGAUACUAACGAUGGAGUCAAGUUCAACGGGAAUCCAAGUCGGUCUUAAUAGAAAAAUUUUACUUGCUAAGAGACAAUGUUUCAUUUCCUAUACUUAAAGAAACCACUUCAAAAUUGUAGACGGCUAUUUCGUCUCGAAUCAAAUCUACGAUGUUACGUGCGUAUUAUGUACAUACUUUACAAUUACUAUGUGAUUCGAUUCCUUCAGUGUUUAUAAGUACAAUAGAUUCUCGAAUUCUAUGGGUGCUUGGACUGGAGUUCGAAAUCAGUUUGUACAACCUAAUCCUAAAUACUUACUUUCUAAGUUUCUUUUACAACAAGUGUUUGCGUCACAAUUGUUUAGAAUUUUCAAAUAUAAAUACGUAUCGAAAUUGGUUCAGUUCAAUAAUCUUGGGAAUGCUUGGAAAUAAAUUAAAAACUAUUUAAAACUGCGUGAAUUAAUUGGAUAAAUUUUUGAUAAGAUUUGCAACACUACAAAUUCAUUACGUGUCACGACUGAGUUCACUCGAGUCGCAUACGUAUUUACAAUCGAAACGCGAGAUAGAUAAUAAAUACGAUAAAAACACAUAUUUACUUUCAUCGUUGAAAUUUUCUCCGAAUUCGUGCGUAUAAUCGCUUUUACCAAAAUAAAUUUUUUUCUGUGUAUAUAUAUACGUAUAAUGUAUGCGAUAAGAUCAAAAUUUUUAAAGGUGUUUGAAUUGAUGGGAUAAUAUCUUUGCGACACUGUAGCCAAUUUUGAUGGGAAUUUUGUAAUAGCCAAAGGAUGACACACAGCGCACACUCGUGUAAGCGAAUUUGGGAAAUGCGCUAGCUGGGUUUUCACCUACGGCGAAUUUACCCUGGUUCGAUGUUUAUAAUUCAAGAAGGGCCUGGCUUUAAUUACCACCCUGUAGUGUUUACAGGAGCCGUAAUAUUUGAUGCCACCAGAUAGGACCUUCGUUGACGUGGAUGGACCGCAUAUCGCCAGAGAAAUAUGUAUUAUAUCGAACACUUUACCGAAAUACAAAGUUUUUCAACAGGAUAUAAACGCGCAACGCUCUCGUGUUUCUACAGUUUUUUUCACUAUCGUCGGUUAAAGGUUCCUCCGAUUAUCAACAUACGAGAUGCGCGCGUUGUAUCGCUUCUCCCAGAGACGCGUUUACCAGAUUGAUUUAUGCUCCGUUAUUUCCAGAAAUAUUUACACUCCCAUGCGCAUAUUACGAUACAUCAGUGAGAUGGGCAUAUUUACUUGGUACGCGAAAAGGGCGCAUAUAACGUGCUUGUUAACAAUGCAAAUGACUCGAAGCUAGGCUAGCAGAAAGAAAGAAUGGAAGGAGAAAAGCAACUGCUCGUCCAGCUUCGCAGCCCCGCAAAAGGGAUUCAGUCAACAAUAUGGCAUGAUGUUUGAUGAGCCGAUCGAUCACGGCACCCUGUCAGUUUUGCGGUUGAAACGUUGCCCUGUAUGCGCGUGAUCGCGCAUGUUUGCAACCGCGUGCGAAUGUUCUUUUAUAAGCACCGAGAUCGACUACCAAACUGUAUAUCUACCUAGAAAUGUAAGAAUAUAUCGUAUUUGCCCACAUUUUAAAAAAACAUUUUUUACCUUUUUACAA